rnacentral:misc_RNA from 1 species
AAUAAUUCGGUUCGGUUUGAUUCAAUUGAUUUUCUUCUCCAAAACCAAAUCGAACUGAGAUAACUGAAAUUCUUAAAAUACAAAAUCGAACUGAACCGAACCGAAUCAAAUUGAAUUAUCUUAAAAAUGGAACUGAAUUACCGAAUUAAAGUGGUUCAGUUCGGUUUAUUCAUUUCAAACCGAAUAGUGCUAAUCCCUACCUUCCAGUUUCUGCUUCUCCUCUUCAG